rnacentral:rRNA from 1 species
CCGCAGCGCUUCUGACGUGCAAAUCGAUUGUCGGAUCCGAGCAUAGGGGCGAAAGACCAAUCGAACCAUCUAGUAGCUGGUUCCCUCCGAAGUUUCCCUCAGGAUAGCUGGACCCCGUGGCGAGGCAGUCUCAUCCGGUAAAGCGAAUGAUUAGAGGCGCUCGGGGGCGAAAGGCCCUCGCCCUAUUCUCAAACUGAUAACGGGUGCGAACCCGUCCCUGCGCUCAGGGCCGGGC